UACGAAGGAUCCAAGCGUUAUCCGGAUUUAUUGGGUUUAAAGGGUGCGUAGGCGGUCUUGUAAGUCAGUGGUGAAAUACGGCAGCUCAACUGUCGAGGUGCCAUUGAUACUGUAGGACUUGAGUACAGACGAGGUAGGCGGAAUUGACGGUGUAGCGGUGAAAUGCUUAGAUAUCGUCAAGAACACCGAUAGCGAAGGCAGCUUACUAGGCUGUAACUGACGCUGAGGCACGAAAGUGUGGGGAUCAAACAGG
rnacentral:rRNA from 1 species